rnacentral:tRNA from 2 species
GCUCUUGUGGCGCAAUUGGUAGACGCGGCAAACUUAAAAUUUGUUUUUAAAUUGUGGGUUCGAGUCCCACCAAGAGCA